GCCCCGUUCGUCUAGCGGCCUAGGACACAUGCUUUUCAGGCAUGGAAUCGCCGGUUCGAAUCCGGCACGGGGUACAA
rnacentral:tRNA from 4 species